GACGAACGCUGGCGGCAUGCCUAACACAUGCAAGUCGAACGAGACCUUCGGGUCUAGUGGCGCACGGGUGCGUAACGCGUGGGAACCUGCCCUUAGGUUCGGCAUAACUCCCCGAAAGGGGUGCUAAUACCGGAUAAUGUCUUCGGACCAAAGAUUUAUCGACUUUGGAUGGGCCCGCGUUGGAUUAGCUAGUUGGUAGGGUAAAAGCCUACCAAGGCGACGAUCCAUAGCUGGUCAGAGAGGAUGAUCAGCCACACUGGGACUGAGACACGGCCCAGACUCCUACGGGAGGCAGCAGUGGGGAAUAUUGGACAAUGGGCGGAAGGCUGAUCCAGCAAUGCCGCGUGAGUGAUGAAGGCCUUAGGGUUGUAAAGCUCUUUUAACCGGGAUGAUAAUGACAGUACCGGGAGAAUAAGCGCCGGCUAACUCCGUG
rnacentral:rRNA from 1 species